rnacentral:rRNA from 1 species
AACGAACGCUGGCGGCAGGCUUAACACAUGCAAGUCGAGCGCCCCGCAAGGGGAGCGGCAGACGGGUGAGUAACGCGUGGAACGUACCCUUUGCUACGGAAUAGCUCCGGGAAACUGGAAUUAAUACCGUAUGUGCCCUACGGGGGAAAGAUUUAUCGGCAAAGGAUCGGCCCGCGUUGGAUUAGCUAGUUGGUGGGGUAAUGGCCUACCAAGGCGACGAUCCAUAGCUGGUCUGAGAGGAUGAUCAGCCACAUUGGGACUGAGACACGGCCCAAACUCCUACGGGAGGCAGCAGUGGGGAAUAUUGGACAAUGGGCGCAAGCCUGAUCCAGCCAUGCCGCGUGAGUGAUGAAGGCCUUAGGGUUGUAAAGCUCAUUCACCGGAGAAGAUAAUGACGGUAUCCGGAGAAGAAGCCCCGGCUAACUUCGUGCCAGCCGCCGCGGUAACAC